UCGUAACAAGGUCUCCGUUGGUGAACCAGCGGAGGGAUCAUUACAGAGUUGCAAAACUCCCUAAACCAUUGUGAACGUUACCUUCAAACCGUUGCUUCGGCGGGCGGCCCGGGUCCGCCCGGUGCCCCCUGGCCCCCUUAGCGGGGCGCCCGCCGGAGGAAACCCAACUCUUGAUUAUCAUGGCCUCUCUGAGUCUUCUGUACUGAAUAAGUCAAAACUUUCAACAACGGAUCUCUUGGUUCUGGCAUCGAUGAAGAACGCAGCGAAAUGCGAUAAGUAAUGUGAAUUGCAGAAUUCAGUGAAUCAUCGAAUCUUUGAACGCACAUUGCGCCCGCCAGUAUUCUGGCGGGCAUGCCUGUUCGAGCGUCAUUUCAACCAUCAAGCCCCGGGCUUGUGUUGGGGACCUGCGGCUGCCGCAGGCCCUGAAAACCAGUGGCGGGCUCGCUGUCACACCGGGCGUAGUAGAUUUUAUCUCGCCCAGGGCGUGCUGCGGGUUCCGGCCGUUAAAAAGCCUUUUUUACCCAAGGUUGACCUCGGAUCAGGUAGGAAUACCCGCUGAACUUAAGCAUAUCAAUAA
rnacentral:misc_RNA from 1 species